GACGAACGCUGGCGGCGUGCUUAACACAUGCAAGUCGAACGAAGAGCGAUGGAAGCUUGCUUCUAUCAAUCUUAGUGGCGAACGGGUGAGUAACGCGUAAUCAACCUGCCCUUCAGAGGGGGACAACAGUUGGAAACGACUGCUAAUACCGCAUACGAUCUAAUCUCGGCAUCGAGGAUAGAUGAAAGGUGGCCUCUACAUGUAAGCUAUCACUGAAGGAGGGGAUUGCGUCUGAUUAGCUAGUUGGAGGGGUAACGGCCCACCAAGGCGAUGAUCAGUAGCCGGUCUGAGAGGAUGAACGGCCACAUUGGGACUGAGACACGGCCCAGACUCCUACGGGAGGCAGCAGUGGGGAAUCUUCCGCAAUGGACGAAAGUCUGACGGAGCAACGCCGCGUGAGCGAUGACGGCCUUCGGGUUGUAAAGCUCUGUUAAUCGGGACGAAAGGCCUUCUUGCGAAUAGUGAGAAGGGUUGACGGUACCGGAAUAGAAAGCCACGGCUAACUACGUG
rnacentral:rRNA from 1 species